AAGGGUCAAGUGAUGAUUGAUAACGCAUAGUUCAGAUGAUAAAAUCUAAAUGAUUACAUCUACUCAGCAUAGUCUUUCGCUCCUAUCUGAUGACCCUU
rfam:Arabis alpina cultivar Pajares chromosome 3, whole genome shotgun sequence.